AGAGUUUGAUCAUGGCUCAGGACGAACGCUGGCGGCGUGCCUAACACAUGCAAGUCGAACGGAGUUAAGUGCUUCGGUAUUUAACUUAGUGGCGAACGGGUGAGUAACACGUGAGAAAUCUGCCUUUCAGUGGGGGACAACAGUUAGAAAUAGCUGCUAAUACCGCAUAAUGUCAUUUGGGGGCAUCCCCGAAUGACCAAAGAUUUAUUGCUGAAAGAUGAUCUCGCGUCUGAUUAGCUAGUUGGUGAGGUAACGGCUCACCAAGGCGACGAUCAGUAGCCGGACUGAGAGGUUGAACGGCCACAUUGGGACUGAGAUACGGCCCAGACUCCUACGGGAGGCAGCAGUGGGGAAUAUUGGGCAAUGGGGGAAACCCUGACCCAGCAACGCCGCGUGAAGGAAGAAGGCCUUCGGGUUGUAAACUUCUUUUAGCAGGGACGAAGAACGUGACGGUACCUGCAGAAAAAGCAACGGCUAACUACGUGCCAGCAGCCGCGGUAAUACGUAGGUUGCAAGCGUUGUCCGGAUUUACUGGGUGUAAAGGGCGUGUAGGCGGAACUGCAAGUCAGAUGUGAAAUCUCGGGGCUCAACCCCGAAACUGCAUUUGAAACUGUAGUCCUUGAGUAUCGGAGAGGCAAGCGGAAUUCCUAGUGUAGCGGUGAAAUGCGUAGAUAUUAGGAGGAACACCAGUGGCGAAGGCGGCUUGCUGGACGACAACUGACGCUGAGGCGCGAAAGCGUAGGGAGCAAACAGGAUUAGAUACCCUGGUAGUCCACGCUGUAAACGAUGAAUACUAGGUGUGGGAGGACUGACCCCUUC
rnacentral:rRNA from 1 species